GACCCGUAAUCCGGGUUGCGGACAGUGUCUGGUGGGUAGUUUGACUGGGGCGGUCUCCUCCUAAAGAGUAACGGAGGAGCACGAAGGUUGGCUAAUCCUGGUCGGACAUCAGGAGGUUAGUGCAAUGGCAUAAGCCAGCUUGACUGCGAGCGUGACGGCGCGAGCAGGUGCGAAAGCAGGUCAUAGUGAUCCGGUGGUUCUGAAUGGAAGGGCCAUCGCUCAACGGAUAAAAGGUACUCCGGGGAUAACAGGCUGAUACCGCCCAAGAGUUCAUAUCGACGGCGGUGUUUGGCACCUCGAUGUCGGCUCAUCACAUCCUGGGGCUGAAGUAGGUCCCAAGGGUAUGGCUGUUCGCCAUUUAAAGUGGUACGCGAGCUGGGUUUAGAACGUCGUGAGACAGUUCGGUCCCUAUCUGCCGUGGGCGCUGGAGAACUGAGGGGGGCUGCUCCUAGUACGAGAGGACCGGAGUGGACGCAUCACUGGUGUUCGGGUUGUCAUGCCAAUGGCACUGCCCGGUAGCUAAAUGCGGAAGAGAUAAGUGCUGAAAGCAUCUAAGCACGAAACUUGCCCCGAGAUGAGUUCUCCCUGACUCCUUGAGAGUCCUGAAGGAACGUUGAAGACGACGACGUUGAUAGGCCGGGUG
rnacentral:rRNA from 1 species